GACGAACGCUGGCGGCGUGCCUAAUACAUGCAAGUUGAGCGCUGAAGGUUGGUACUUGUACCAACUGGAUGAGCAGCGAACGGGUGAGUAACGCGUGGGGAAUCUGCCUUUGAGCGGGGGACAACAUUUGGAAACGAAUGCUAAUACCGCAUAAAAACUUUAAACACAAGUUUUAAGUUUGAAAGAUGCAAUUGCAUCACUCAAAGAUGAUCCCGCGUUGUAUUAGCUAGUUGGUGAGGUAAAGGCUCACCAAGGCGAUGAUACAUAGCCGACCUGAGAGGGUGAUCGGCCACAAUGGGACUGAGACACGGCCCAAACUCCUACGGGAGGGAGCCGUAGGGAAUCUUCGGCAAUGGACGAAAGUCUGACCGAGCAACGCCGCGUGAGUGAAGAAGGGUUUCGGAUCGUAAAACUCUGUUGGUAGAGAAGAAAGUUGGUGAGAGUGGAAAGCUCAUCAAGUGACGGUAACUACCCAGAAAGGGACGGCUAACUACGUG
rnacentral:rRNA from 1 species